CAUGCUCAGAAGCUGGUCACAGUUAUAGGUAAGGGAGCAUAAUCAUGCUUAGAAGCUGGUCACAGUUAUAGGAAAGGGAGCAUAAUCAUGCUUAGAAGCUGGUCACAGUUAUAGGUAAGGGAGCAUAAUCAUGCUUAGAAGCUGGUCACAGUUAUAGGUAAGUGAGCAUAAUCAUGCUUAGAAGCUGGUCACAGUUACAGGUCGAUCCUGG